rnacentral:lncRNA from 1 species
UAAUUACAACGGUGCAAGCAUCGAACGACUCUGCACCAGAAUAGAUUCACAAUCAAAUUGUUGCGUUGUCUAGCGCAUAAUCAGAUGCAACUAACGAAUUGAGUAGCACAUGCAGCAAGAUGGAGAACUCACACAUCAAACAGAGGUGAGGUAUGCAGCUUGGGUAAAACACAAAAGGAACCAGCAAGGCAAAUUAAAAACGGUGAACUGUUAUACAAUACAUAUAUAUAGGGUCACUACAUAGAGCAAGGCAAGUAAGACAGAGUCACUACAUAGAGCCACAUGCUUUGCAUCUGUUUCCCCCGGAAACAUAAUUAUUAUAUACCACUUGACGGUAAAAAAAAUCAUAGAGGCUUUAUGAUUAUCACUUUAUCAGAGCCAUGUCAUGCAUUAAUUUCUUAGUAUACACACAUUCAGAUCGUCAAACCAGGACGAAUAGGUGGGUCAAAUGCUUCAUGGAAUACAGCUUGUGGUAGCCCUACCUUCAAAAAAAUGAGACAGAAUGAACUUCAACAGUGGCGGUCAUUCCAUGGGGGGGGGGGAGUAAUCCUACAGUAGUUUGUGGUCUCUUAAAUGGUCACCUCUUUUUGUAAGCACUGGGCCAUGGGGAGAAAAAAUUAAGCAUUUACUGUUAAACAUAUGUGCAUUUCUUCAGUCCAAAGAACAAACAAACGUUAUCUUCUUCAUUUCUUCAUUUGCUUAUAUAAAUUGAGGAACAUGCUUAUAACCGUAUGAAAUAGAAGCAAAUAUAUUUGAACUAUAUCCAGUUGAAAAUAGGAGGACACGGUCUGCCACACCAUACUUGUCCUGGCCUGAGGAUGUUCGAUGCGGUGCAGGCCAAAAAUAGCAUAUAUAUACGAAGAUUUUCGAGUAGCAUAGUAAUAUGGUAAAAAAAUGGUACAUUUUGUAUUAUGAUAUGGCAGACAAACAAAGGGAUUGUGGUUAGCCAAGAGCACCUAAAGGCACAUAUCAUAUAAAAAAUAAUCCUACAGUACUUCAUGAUCUCUUAGGUCAUUUUCAUAUUAUUUAGAAUCAACAAAUGAUAUAGAAUUUUGACCAUCAGAUGUCUAGACCAUAAUAGCUUUGAAAACUCGCUGAACACGAGACUUUUAUGUUAUUUUAUUUCCAUUCUGUUAUUUGAACUGGUCCUUGAUUCAUUUGUAUCCUUCUCUAUCAGAUGUCAAUAAAGCGAUAGAACUAAUAAAAUGGAUGUUAGCUCGAUCAGAUGCUCACAUAGAAAUAAAGUAAUGGACUUCAACACAUAAAUUCAUGCCAAAGCAAAAGCAUUACAAUGGUACCCGUUAUAAACGGAGAGAAACCCUGUUAUACCUGGAUAUAUUUUGGAGCGCCUCAACGCGCUUCCUGACCUUGGCUCCAGGCUCUCGAGCACUCGAUGUGCCAGACCACCAAACCCUGUAGCGUAUUCUGCACAACCACGACAUUGGAUUAGCAUGACUCCACCAUGAAAAUAACC